GGGUCCCUACUUACGUAAGACGGGCUGUGGGUUGUCGACCUCCUUCAGCAUGGGGAUAUAACUGACCUCUUACUGAUAAAUAAACGUCCUAUACCACUGAGCCCCGGGUCGCGCCGUGACGGCGGACGCAGUUGUACUCCGGAUGCAAUGGUCAUCCGGAUUCUGUGGGUGGAAAAGGUCCUUAGGUGUAUCUGCUAGACGCUCAUGAUCUCUCUCACCUUCACUGCUAUAAUACUAUAGAAUCUGAAGGGCUAGAGUAUUGUCCAAUUAACCGGAAUAAUUAGUGUAUCUGGGAAAUAACUACAUAUGCCAUAGAACACCAAUGGGCAAUGACUGUCACUGAGCAACAACUGACACGGAUGGACAAAAGAUUAGAUACCCCAACAAGAUUAAUCCCCAGCUAGUCCUACCCGAUGUACGAACAUAUCUACCUGUGUGAAUAUGUCAAGUUUCACGAGACUAAGUAUACCGUGAGAAGAAUAUACGCUCGCAAGAGUACAAAUGCAAUAAAAAACUCAAA
rnacentral:rRNA from 1 species